AUCAAAUGUGUCAACUUCUACUUCAGAAUGGGGUAAUAAUGAUUGGAACAGUUGCAUUUAUGAACUCACAAGUUUGACAAAACUUAAUUUAACAAAGUCAAGAGAAAAAAUGAUUAAAAAAAACUAAUGGAAUACAAAAUAGCGGGGGGCCGUAAGCAGCCCCAUUGCCUCGUGCAAAUAUGGCAUAUAAUUUACCAUGUCGCAAAAUCUUUGUCUAAUGAACACACCUUGAAAAAGUACACAACUUGUAAAAUCACCUGUUCUUGAUCGUUACAGCGAUGAAAACUGCAAUAUAGUUGCUCUACUUCACUGGGCAUAAAUGGAGAAUGCCAUUGCGAGGAAAAGUGAGUUUGAGCAUAUUCCAUCUGCGCAGUCACAUCACUCCUCCAAGCAAAGAGUUGAGCUUUACUGGAGCAGAUUUUUGCAGGCUUCAAUAUCGCCAUUGCGAGGAAAAGUGAGUGAGCAUAUUCCAUCUGCGCGGUUACAUCACUCCUCCAAGCAAAGAGUUGAGCUUUACUGGAGCAGAUUUUUGCAGGCUUCAAUAUCAGGUGCCUGUGAAUC
rnacentral:lncRNA from 1 species